CCGAAACGCCGCGACCCGCAGGCCGCUGGCUGAGCCUGGGCCUGCUGAUCCGGGGCCCGGAGAGACGCUCGCCGCCUCUGCCCCGUCCUUGGGUCCCGGCGUUGGCCUCCUGCGCUGGGUCAGCUUCCCGGGCGGUGCCUUCCCGGCCUCAGUCCGUGCCCCAGCCCCUGCGUAUGCCCACCUCCUCCUGGACGGCAAGCCCGCGGAUCCAGGGUGCGGAGAGGUCUGCGGCCCGACCUCUCUGGCUCGCCGCCUGGUGUCGCGUCAGGUGGGGGAACUCAGCCCCAUGCGGAGCGGAUCAACUCUCUCGGCCCUCGGGCGCACAGAAAAUGCUAGAACUUUCAGAAACGAGUUGAGUUGCGAGAAAUUGUCCGGGCAACGGACACCCAGCAAUGCUCAAUAAAUGUGGAAAUAAAGAGCAGGUGAAGCCCAACUUCCUGUUGCACCAGCUGACCCCAACAUUUUUGGAAAGCCUGGCGUGUUCAAGCACCGCAUAGACAAGAUCUGAACCCCUGCUGCCCUCCCCCGAACCUGGCAGGACCACUGAGAGACAGAAGGGGAGAAGAGGAAGAGCCGUGCGCAGGACAGCCAGGUGCACGCCCAACCGUGAAGAAGGAACCAAUAAAAAGAGCAAAGCCAAGAUUUAAGAUUUAUAAUGAAGAUUUUAAGAACCAUACACAAGAGAUAUGGAAAAAGAAAUGGUUGGGGGGGGGGGAAUUUGAAAGCAAUGAUAAAAGGGUUUGGAAAUUGCUAGGAGAUGAGCUUAGGUGAAGGAAUUCUAAACUGUGUUGAGUACAGGAGAUGCAGUUAUUUGAUGGCACUUAAAUAAAACCUCCUUUAAUCAUC